rnacentral:lncRNA from 1 species
AUGUAAUAUGAUGUAUCAUGUCGUGUUAAGCGGUAAAACGCUGGUAUUUUUAAACUGGUGUACUCUGUUAGUGUGUCCUCCCUCUGACGCAGUUCCUCCAUCCACUUUUUUACAGCGGUGCUCCGAGGAAUUUGGUGCUGCAUGUGACAGCGUACAACUUAUUUGCGGCUAUUCAGAUGUCCGCGCGUGAAAAAGUGCGCGUCUGUCAUCGAUCCGGGCCGUUUUGCGCGAAUGAAAAUGUCACGGAGACGGAGCUGAGAGCGCCGAGCCUCGCGCCGCCGCCGCCGAUACGCGCGCUGGCGGUGCGCGCUGCGCGCGCGCGCCACUCCACUCCAAAUUUACAGGCAUGAAAUUGGUGUGAAGCCGCAAAGCAGGCAGGAUGGCGCGCGGCAAGCCCGUCCUGGGCUCCCCGGGCACAUGCACGGAGGAGGCAUGGAAAAAGAUGAUGGAAAAGAAAGAUGGAAGUGAUGCAGCACGGGAAAGGGAGGCAAGGCUGCGGAUAAGAACCUUUUGCUCAUGGGUGCAACAGAAGGAGGUGGGAUUCCAGUGUGGCUCCUUCGAGUGCAGUGCAGCAGCACUGACCGCCACGCCACCUGCUGAUGGACGUCCGUGCUAUAGUAUAAGGAUGUAUAUCCCUUACACACUCCAGCUGUUUUAUUAGAAUUUUUUGCAAAUAUUGUGAUUUAUUGUCUUUUUGAAAAAGUGCACAGAAGAAAAAGGUUUACAUUUUGCACCAGACAACUAACAACAAUGGAAAAAGCGGAAAUAUACACACACGUAAACAUGUAGCAUGGAGUAACACUCCCUGGAAUUUUCUUCUCUAGCCCAGUUCACUCACACAUGCUACACAUUUAGUGGAAGGAGAACAUGGUCAUGCAUUCUUGUAUUAGAAGCUGACCCUAAAAUCCUCCACUUUACACCUGUUCCUGUGAAGGAAAAAGCGCAAGAACCAGAUCCAGUACCUCCUCUCUGGCAGCGUCGUACUGGAAUCCGCUGAAUUCAGACCUGGUUUAAAGAUGGAAAAAUGACGCUGAACCACUGACUGCAGGUAACAUUCACUGUCCUGUACAAAUAAGAAUAUAUUCACAUCAUAUGCAACAAAAUCCUCCUGAAUGUGAUUUCUUAUGUAUAGUGUGCUUUCUUUCAUUAGGUUAUUUAUUUAUUUAUUUGUUGUUAUUACUAUACUAAUAAUAAUGGGGUUUUUUUUGGAACUGCCAUUUCUGUGCAGUGUGGUAGUCUCAGAUGAUACCUGUACAUAUGCGCACAUACAUUCUGUAGAAAUACAUAAAAUAAUGGCUGCGCAGGUAACAAAUCCAGUCUGAAGCGCCAUGCCAUACGUUAAAUCAAGGUCUACAGGCAAAUAAAUAUGCAAAACAGCUCCA